rnacentral:rRNA from 1 species
GACGAACCGUGCGAACGUUAUUCGGAAUCACUGGGCUUAAAGCGCGUGUAGGCGGGCCGCCGCGUCGGCUGCUGAAAUCCCCCGGCUCAACCGGGGAAGUGGCACCGAUACGGGCGGCCUGGAGGGGGGUAGGGGGGCCUGGAACUUCCGGUGGAGCGGUGAAAUGCGUUGAGAUCGGAAGGAACGCCCGUGGCGAAAGCGAGGCCCUGGACCCUUACUGACGCUGAGACGCGAAAGCCAGGGGAGCGAACGGG